ensembl:lncRNA
AUGAAAUCUUCGAGAAAAGCUACAAAAUUGAGACAACCCAAGCCUAAAGAGCAUGGUGGAGAGCAAAAUGCAGCCGCAGGGCAGGUUGAGACAAACCAACAAGGACUUUCUUUGGAGAGGAAGAUCGAACUCGAGAAGCAGAGACGAUUUACCCUGAUCAACGAGGUCAACCGCUUAACGGCUGCAGUUAAAGAAAGACAGGACAAGCUAGAAGGUUUAAAGAAAGUGAUAGCCCUUCAGCACUCAGAGAAAAACACAGAAGAAACAGAGAAACAAUAUCAGGAAAUUCAUCAGCUGGAGAUCAGCCUGAAGAGGAUGAAAGAUAGGACGGAGGAGAAGAGAAAAGACAUCGCUGUUGCUAGAUCAGUUUCUGCAAACCUGAACUUGGUCCAGAUGAAAAACGAGGCUCUGGAACAGAGAAAGGAAAUGAGUGCUGAGAUGCAGAAGCUCCUCGCUCAUCAGAAGGAGGCCCAAACUGGUUUACAGGCCAUGAGACAGAGUGUCCUGAUCCCAGGGAAUAAUCUGGCAGAAGCUGAUGUCCAACUGCUAGAGAAUGGCUUGGAGGACACGACAGACUUUUUGGACUUCGGUGAAAUUAAGCAACUCACGGAAGCGUACCUCAUCAAUGAAGACAUCAGAGAGAAGCAAUACAUCCUGAAAAACCUGAAGCUUGACUACAUGAUCCUCCAGCACAGUGACAAAGCAAAGUGGCAAAGUUCCGACAAUGUCACGGAAGAGGGAAUGAUGGAGCUGAAUAAGGAAGUGCACCGUGUGGAAGACCUGAGGGCUGCUCUGAAGGAGCCCCAAGCUCUGUUGUCCGCUGCUGAGCAGAAGAUCGAUGCCGUGUGUCUUCGACUGAACUGCAUACCUUUAGAGGAAUUAUCAUCAAUGUCCAACAAGAAAAAAAUAAGGAGAAUCCGCAUCCAGCUCAACUCGCAGAAGACUGACAAGAGCAGCAAUCAGAAGAAGGUUUAUAACAUGGAAGGUGAGAGAAACAACCAGACCCAAAUCGCUUCGCCACCCGAGGAGAUGUGAUGUUUCAUUAUAAUGUUCCAUAAUUCAUAACUAAUAUCCAGGAGCUUGCUGGACAACGUUGGAAAUGUUCCAACGCUGAAACAUUUCUGCACAAGUGCUUUUGUUUGAGCUUCAGAAGCUCGUCAAAGAGGUCAUUCGCUCUUGUUUUAACACAUUUGAAGUGGUCUCUAGUAGGAAUGAAGGCCUUUUAGGCCAGACUCGACAGGAAAAAAAGCUCCGGUGUGCGACAGAAUUUGGAGUUGCAAACAGCAACACAACUCUACCCCUGACUCUGGCCCUGUCCACACGUAGCCGGGGAUCUGCCAAAACGUAGAUAUUUUUCUACGUUUUGGCCUGUCAUCCACACGAAAACGGAGUUUUUUCACACGAAAACGGAUCUUUUUAAAAACUCCGGCCAAAGUGAAGAUCUGCGUUUUCUCCGUUUUGGGUGUCUGCGUGUGGACGGACAAAACCGGAGUUUUAAGGUCCACAACGUCACUUUCCACGACAAAAAAAUGCUGACAUCACGUGUGCGACCUGUGUUUACACUAGCCGACAUCAUGGAAGCCUUCAGAGCUGCGCUCGCUUUAUCAAUUGUCCAAGCGCUUUUUGCUUGAUUGUUUUUGCAAGCGGAAUUACUGCUCCUUGCGGAAGACCACAGACGAAGGACGACGUUAAGAACGGGGGAAGUACUGCCACCUACAGGUCUGGGAUGUCCUUAACAACGUAUUUAUCCGGGUACGUGUGGACAGA